rnacentral:lncRNA from 1 species
GGCUGAGGAAGGAGGAUUGCUUGAAUCUGAGAGACAGAGGUUGCAGUGAGCCAAGAUUGUGCCACUGCACUCCAGCCUGGGUGACAGAGCGAGACUGUUUUUUCAUGUGUUUUUUGGCUGCAUAAAUGUCUUCUUUUGAGAAGUGUCUGUUCAUGUCCUUUGCCCACUUUUUGAUGGGGUUGUUUGUUUUUUUCUUGUAAAUUUGUUUGAGUUCAUUGUAGAUUCUGGAUAUUAGCCCUUUGUCAGAUGAGUAGGUUGCGAAAAUUUUCUCCUAUUUUGUAGGUUGCCUGUUCACUGUGAUGGUAGUUUCUUUUGCUGUGCAGAAGUUCUUUAGUUUAAUGAGAUCCCAUUUGUCAAUUUUGGCUUUUGUUGCCAUUGCUUUUGGUGUUUUAGACAUGAAGUCCUUGCCCAUGCCUAUGUCCUGAAUGGUAAUGC